rnacentral:rRNA from 1 species
UUCUGGCUCAGGAUGAACGCUGGCGGCGUGCUUAACACAUGCAAGUCGAACGAAGCAACUAUCUUGCUUGCAAGAGAGUUGACUUAGUGGCGGACGGGUGAGUAACGCGUGGGUAACCUGCCUCAUACAGGGGGAUAACAGUUGGAAACGACUGCUAAGACCGCAUAACCCGCUAGUGUCGCAUGACACGGACGGAAAAUAUUUAUAGGUAUGAGAUGGGCCCGCGUCUGAUUAGCUAGUUGGUAAGGUAACGGCUUACCAAGGCGACGAUCAGUAGCCGACUUGAGAGAGUGAUCGGCCACAUUGGGACUGAGACACGGCCCAAACUCCUACGGGAGGCAGCAGUGGGGAAUAUUGGACAAUGGGGGAAACCCUGAUCCAGCGAACCGCCGCGUGAGUGAAGAAGUAUUUCGGUAUGUAAAGCUCUAUCAGCAGGGAAGAUAAUGACAGUACCUGACUAAGAAGCCCCGGCUAACUACGUGCCAGCAGCCGC